rnacentral:rRNA from 1 species
UUAAUGAGUUGUGAUAGGGGUUUGACGCUGGCAGCCAAUUCUUUUUGGAUGCAUGUGCUCGCCCUAACAAUCAUUUUCCAAACACCUGUGCACACUUUUGAGGGAGUUUUGAGUUGAUUGCCACUGGCAAUUUUCUUGCAUUCCCUUUAACUCCAUUAUACACUACUUAUGAUACUGAACGUGUUUGUGCCGCGCAAGGCCAUUAAUAUAAUACAACUUUUAACAACGGAUCUCUUGGCUCUCGCAUCGAUGAAGAACGCAGCGAAAUGCGAUAAGUAAUGUGAAUUGCAGAAUUCAGUGAAUCAUCGAAUCUUUGAACGCACCUUGCGCUCCCUGGUAUUCCGGGGAGCACGCCUGUUCGAGUGUCACGAAAUUUCUCAAGCUUGGAUAGCUUUUUGCCUGUCCAUUAGCCUUGGUUGUUGGGCUUUGCCGUAUCCUUCAUUAGGGAUGGCUGGCCUCAAAAGCAUGAGCUUGAUCCUUCGGUGGUGCUGGUUCUACUCAGCGUGAUAAUCGAUCUGAUCGCUGAGGACAUCUUUUGGGAUGGCCAGUCCUCGUUUGGGUUGCUUCCAAAUCUGGUUUUUGCAGAUUCUUGGAUCUGUAUAUUCCACUUUUUCAGCUUUGACCUCGAAUCAGGUGGGACUACCCGCUGAACUUAAGCAUAUCAU